rnacentral:misc_RNA from 1 species
UUAAGUUCAGCGGGUAGCCCUACCUGAUUUGAGAUCAAACAUUCAAGAAGCUGUCCUCGCUGAGGAGAGACAUUUGUGAGCUCCAGCGAACCUCCAUUGCUGAAGGUUACCUGGUGGAAGCCACAAGCGUAGAUAGUUAUCACACCUGUGAUGCCACCAAACACUGGCAAGCUGAUUCGUUUGAGAGGAGCUGACCACGG